rnacentral:rRNA from 1 species
CUAGGUCGGAUUAGCUAGUUGGUGAGGUAAAGGCUCACCAAGGCGACGAUCCGUAACUGGUUUGAGAGGAUGAUCAGUCACACUGGAACUGAGACACGGUCCAGACUCCUACGGGAGGCAGCAGUGGGGAAUAUUGGACAAUGGGGGAAAGCCUGAUCCAGCCAUCCCGCGUGUGUGAAGAAGGUCUUCGGAUUGUAAAGCACUUUAAG